CAUUAUUUCUUGUGCAUGUACCAUAUGGCUGUCAUGGUCCAGGCACCAGGGAUGUCCUGGGGAAUAAGCAAGACAAGGUCCUGACCCCGUGUAGCCUUCCUUCCAGCAGAGAAGAUGGACGCUAAAUAAAAAACAAUGAAGGAGCAAGAAUGGCGGAACAGAUGUCAGACUUCAAGAAGAUGAUGAACACUGUGGGAGCAGGGACCAUGUCGGUGUUUGCUCAUAGUUGGAUCCCCAGUGCCUGGCACACAGCCUGGCAAAUGAGACUGGAGCACAAGGAAGUGUUAGUGGGUUUGUUGUUCCUGGUUUUCCCGUUCAUUCCAGCCAGCAAUCUCUUCUUCAGGGUGGGUUUUGUGGUGGCCGAGAGAGUCCUUUACAUGCCUAGGUAAUUAUUGCUCCUGAUUUCCUCUUUACGAGACCUGCCUUCUGUCACCAACAUGGAUAGUUCCAGAGGGACGGUCCUUUGCGUGUGUCACAAUUAGGUCCUCGUGUUGCUGAGGCGUGUAUUACCUCCGCUUUCACAACAGCCACAGGGAGG